rnacentral:rRNA from 1 species
CAGCCGCCGCGGGAAUACGAAGGGGGCUAGCGUUGUUCGGAAUUACUGGGCGUAAAGCGCACGUAGGCGGAUCGAUCAGUCAGGGGUGAAAUCCCAGGGCUCAACCCUGGAACUGCCUUUGAUACUGUCGAUCUGGAGUAUGGAAGAGGUGAGUGGAAUUCCGAGUGUAGAGGUGAAAUUCGUAGAUAUUCGCAGGAACACCAGUGGCGAAGGCGGCUAACUGGUCCAUAACUGACGCUGAGGUGCGAAAGCGUGGGGAGCAAACAGGAUUAGAUACCCCGGUAGUCCCUGUCUCUUAUAC